UACGUAGGGUGCGAGCGUUGUUCGGAAUUACUGGGCGUAAAGGGCGCGUAGGCGGCUUAUCAAGUCAGGCGUGAAAUUCCCGGGCUCAACCUGGGGGCUGCGCUUGAUACUGAUUGGCUUGAAUGCGGGAGAGGAUAGUGGAAUUCCCAGUGUAGAGGUGAAAUUCGUAGAUAUUGGGAAGAACACCGGUGGCGAAGGCGGCUAUCUGGCCCGUAAUUGACGCUGAGGCGCGGAAAAGCGUGGGGGAGCAAACAGGG
rnacentral:rRNA from 1 species